UUGGUCUUUUUAUUUUUUAUUUUUUUUUUUUCGUUGCAAAGAUGGGUUAAAAGAGAAGGGCUUUCACAAAGCUUCCCGAGCGUGAAAGGAUUUGCCCGGACAGUUUGCUUCAUGGAGCAGUUUUUUCCGCACCAUCAGAGCGGCAAACAUGAGUGCUUGUAUAAGUUUAGAGAAUUGAGAAAAGCUCAUUUCCUAUAGUUAAUAGGACAUGCCUUUGAUAUGAAAAAAAUACUACGAACUACGAUUUUACCAAGAAAGAUGUAAGAGACAAGUGAACAGUGAACAGUGAUAGUGGGGACAUUUUUUUUUUUUAAGUAAAUGGCAGUUUCUAGGGAAUGAUGAUGGCAAGUUCCAGAGAGGCAGCGUAAAAGGAUGAGGCUACUGGGAAGAAGAAAGAGGAAAAGUGCAAGAUGAAUAGCCAGUGCAAUAUAUACAUGUAUACUUAACAGAUAUGGAAUGGUUGGCGAAGUAAAUUUUUGGCGACGCGGUAUGCGGAGUUGUAAGAUGUACUACGAUCAUAUAGUGUAAUGCGGCAAAAUGUUAGUGCAGGAAAGCGGGAAGGAAUAAGAAGCAACUAAACGAGGGUGUAGAAAAAGACGAAGAGGGAAAUGGAGGGAAGAGAACAAAACCGGAGUGUUUUUUUUGUAGGAAUAUCGGAGGAGAAUAUUGUUUGUACAUAUCAAGUAGUAGCAACCCAAUGAGCAUAAUGGAGUGCUUAACUCUUCAGAAGAAGAGUGCAGCUGGAUAGUGCGAAUUUUUCUGAAUCGAAUGGUAGGUUAGUUAUGGGAUUUAGCAUAGGAAGCCAAGAAACUAGAAAAAAAAAAAAAAAAAAAAGAAAUAAA
rnacentral:rRNA from 1 species